GCCGCCACCAGCGCCAACAAGAAGGUCACGGCGAAGAUCGCGAAGUCCAACAUGGCUCUGGACUCGCGGGAGCCACGUCCGGGAACGGCCGGCUGAGCCAGGCGCUAGGCGCGCUGGCCGGACCUGCAGGCUCAGUUUUUGACUCUGGUGGUCCAAUGGAUUGAACCUGGAAAGAAGGAAAAAAGGAAAGAAGAAUGGAAAGAAAUUGCAUACAAACAUAAUGGAUAUUUCAUUCUCAAAUGUUUGGCCAAAUCAAAAAUGACAUAUUACCUAAGGACAGAGAGAAAUCGAGAGGAGGGAACACAGAAGGGAAGAGAAAGAUAGACACCUGCAGACCUGCUUCACCGCCUGUACACUGAACACAGUGUUACCACCCAGCCCCCUUCUACAAGUUCAUAGAAGAUUUACUAUGACCACUAACAGUAAUUCGAUGUCUUCUCUGAAAUAACCCUUAUAGCUGCCAUAUUUUAGAUUUACUAUCAAUUAAAACUUGUAAUGCCUAAUUUAAUUCCAUGUAAUGAAGUAAAAUUUUCAGAAGCACUGA